rnacentral:rRNA from 1 species
GGAAUUGUUCGCAAUGGGCGCAAGCCUGACGACGCAACGCCGCGUGGAGGAUGAAGGUCUUCGGAUUGUAAACUCCUGUUGCCAGGGACGAAUGGCUCCGACCUAACACGUCGGAGAGUGACGGUACCUGGUGAGGAAGCCCCGGCUCACUCUGUGCCAGCAGCCGCGGUAAUACAGAGGGGGCUAGCGUUGUUCGGAAUUACUGGGCGUAAAGGGCGCGUAGGCGGCCUGCUAAGUCGGACGUGAAAUCCCUCGGCUCAACCGGGGAACUGCGUCCGAUACUGACAGGCUCGAAUCCGGGAGAGGGAUGUGGAAUUCCAGGUGUAGCGGUGAAAUGCGUAGAUAUCUGGAGGAAAACCGGUGGCGAAGGCGGCAUCCUGGACCGGCAUUGACGCUGAGGCGCGAAAGCCAGGGGAGCAAAC